CCACAUUGUCAAACUUAUUAAGGAAUACAUUUCCCUUGUUUCUCGUGUCAGGUCUUGUGUCAGGUCAAAUAAGUGUUUUAGGAAUUUGUACAAAUUUCAGGCCUUUUUACAGGGCCGUGUUAUUCGUCCUCCAAGUACUCUAAGCCUUUUAUCAUAAGCGAAUCAAGAUGCCCAUGUCUGUUGAACGGCCCACACGUGGCAAGAGAAUUGUUCCCUUGCAGUUGUCAAAAAUUUAUCCAGAGAUGGAGACUGCUAGGCCGAAGGUUAACAAUUCGGAGGACCUUAAGCAGCGCCUAUCAAUUCUGCAAAACCGGGUCAACGAUUGGAAAGCCGUUCACAAGCAAGAAACCGAAAUGAAUAUAAAUUUGUGGGAAUACCAAAUGCAUGAAUUUUAAUCAUAUGGUUAAGCUUUAAAUUAAUUAACAUGGAAUCUAAAUGAGCGAA
rnacentral:sRNA from 1 species